CCUACGGGUGGCAGCAGUGAGGAAUAUUGGUCAAUGGGCGCGAGCCUGAACCAGCCAAGUCGCGUGAGGGAAGACGGUCCUAUGGAUUGUAAACCUCUUUUGUCGGGGAGCAAAAGACGCCACGCGUGGCGUUCCGAGAGUACCCGAAGAAAAAGCAUCGGCUAACUCCGUGCCAGCAGCCGCGGUAAUACGGAGGAUGCGAGCGUUAUCCGGAUUUAUUGGGUUUAAAGGGAGCGUAGGUGGAUUGUUAAGUCAGUUGUGAAAGUUUGCGGCUCAACCGUAAAAUUGCAGUUGAAACUGGCAGUCGUGAGUACAGUAGAGGUGGGCGGAAUUCCUGGUGUAGCGGUGAAAUGCGUAGAUAUCAGGAGGAACACCGGUGGCGAAGGCGGCCUGCUGGACUGCAACUGACGUUGAGGCCCGAAAGCGUGGGGAGCAAACAGGAUUAGAUACCCCUGUAGUC
rnacentral:rRNA from 1 species